AAGGUUAAGCCUCACGGUUCAUUAGUACCGGUUAGCUCAACGCAUCGCUGCGCUUACACACCCGGCCUAUCAACGUCGUCGUCUUCAACGUUCCUUCAGGACCCUUAAAGGGUCAGGGAGAACUCAUCUCGGGGCAAGUUUCGUGCUUAGAUGCUUUCAGCACUUAUCUCUUCCGCAUUUAGCUACCGGGCAGUGCCAUUGGCAUGACAACCCGAACACCAGUGAUGCGUCCACUCCGGUCCUCUCGUACUAGGAGCAGCCCCCCUCAGUUCUCCAGCGCCCACGGCAGAUAGGGACCGAACUGUCUCACGACGUUCUAAACCCAGCUCGCGUACCACUUUAAAUGGCGAACAGCCAUACCCUUGGGACCUACUUCAGCCCCAGGAUGUGAUGAGCCGACAUCGAGGUGCCAAACACCGCCGUCGAUAUGAACUCUUGGGCGGUAUCAGCCUGUUAUCCCCGGAGUACCUUUUAUCCGUUGAGCGAUGGCCCUUCCAUUCAGAACCACCGGAUCACUAUGACCUGCUUUCGCACCUGCUCGCGCCGUCACGCUCGCAGUCAAGCUGGCUUAUGCCAUUGCACUAACCUCCUGAUGUCCGACCAGGAUUAGCCAACCUUCGUGCUCCUCCGUUACUCUUUAGGAGGAGACCGCCCCAGUCAAACUACCCACCAGACACUGUCCGCAACCCGGAUUACGGGUCAACGUUAGAACAUCAAACAUUAAAGGGUGGUAUUUCAAGGUCGGCUCCAUGCAGACUGGCGUCCACACUUCAAAGCCUCCCACCUAUCCUACACAUCAAGGCUCAAUGUUCAGUGUCAAGCUAUAGUAAAGGUUCACGGGGUCUUUCCGUCUUGCCGCGGGUACACUGCAUCUUCACAGCGAGUUCAAUUUCACUGAGUCUCGGGUGGAGACAGCCUGGCCAUCAUUACGCCAUUCGUGCAGGUCGGAACUUACCCGACAAGGAAUUUCGCUACCUUAGGACCGUUAUAGUUACGGCCGCCGUUUACCGGGGCUUCGAUCAAGAGCUUCGCUUGCGCUGACCCCAUCAAUUAACCUUCCGGCACCGGGCAGGCGUCACACCGUAUACGUCCACUUUCGUGUUUGCACAGUGCUGUGUUUUUAAUAAACAGUUGCAGCCAGCUGGUAUCUUCGACUGAUUUCAGCUCCAUCCGCGAGGGACUUCACCUACAUAUCAGCGUGCCUUCUCCCGAAGUUACGGCACCAUUUUGCCUAGUUCCUUCACCCGAGUUCUCUCAAGCGCCUUGGUAUUCUCUACCUGACCACCUGUGUCGGUUUGGGGUACGAUUUGAUGUUACCUGAUGCUUAGAGGCUUUUCCUGGAAGCAGGGCAUUUGUUGCUUCAGCACCGUAGUGCCUCGUCAUCACGCCUCAGCCUUGAUUUUCCGGAUUUGCCUGGAAAACCAGCCUACACGCUUAAACCGGGACAACCGUCGCCCGGCCAACAUAGCCUUCUCCGUCCCCCCUUCGCAGUAACACCAAGUACAGGAAUAUUAACCUGUUUCCCAUCGACUACGCCUUUCGGCCUCGCCUUAGGGGUCGACUCACCCUGCCCCGAUUAACGUUGGACAGGAACCCUUGGUCUUCCGGCGAGCGGGCUUUUCACCCGCUUUAUCGUUACUUAUGUCAGCAUUCGCACUUCUGAUACCUCCAGCAUGCCUCACAGCACACCUUCACAGGCUUACAGAACGCUCCCCUACCCAACAACACACAGUGUCGCUGCCGCAGCUUCGGUGCAUGGUUUAGCCCCGUUACAUCUUCCGCGCAGGCCGACUCGACCAGUGAGCUAUUACGCU
rnacentral:rRNA from 1 species